rnacentral:rRNA from 1 species
GUAGGUGGCAAGCGUUGUCCGGAAUUAUUGGGCGUAAAGCGCGCGCAGGCGGUUCUUUAAGUCUGAUGUGAAAGCCCACGGCUCAACCGUGGAGGGUCAUUGGAAACUGGAGAACUCGAGUACAGAAGAGGAAAGCGGAAUUCCACGUGUAGCGGUGAAAUGCGUAGAGAUGUGGAGGAACACCAGUGGCGAAGGCGGCUUUCUGGUCUGUAACUGACGCUGAGGCGCGAAAGCGUGGGGAGCAAACAGGAUUAGAUACCCUGGUAGUCCACGCCGUAAACGAUGAGUGCUAAGUGUUAGGGGGGUUUCCGCCCCCCUUAGUGCUGCAGCUAACGCAUUAAGCACUCCGCCUGGGAGUACGGCCGCAAGGCUA